AUUGAACGCUGGCGGCAUGCCUUACACAUGCAAGUCGAACGGUAACGCGGGGCAACCUGGCGACGAGUGGCGAACGGGUGAGUAAUACAUCGGAACGUGCCCAGUAGUGGGGGAUAGCCCGGCGAAAGCCGGAUUAAUACCGCAUACGACCUACGGGUGAAAGCGGGGGACCGCAAGGCCUCGCGCUAUUGGAGCGGCCGAUGUCAGAUUAGGUAGUUGGUGGGGUAAAGGCCUACCAAGCCUACGAUUUGUAGCUGGUCUGAGAGGACGACCAGCCACACUGGGACUGAGACACGGCCCAGACUCCUACGGGGAGGCAGCAGUGGGGAAUUUCGGACAAUGGGCGAAAGCCUGAUCCAGCCAUGCCGCGUGCGGGAAGAAGGCCU
rnacentral:rRNA from 1 species